UCUUCUUCUCUUUUUUUUUUUUUUUUUUUUUUUUUUUUUCUUUUUUUUUUC
rnacentral:ribozyme from 1 species